GAUAUUUAGUAUUAAAUAUUGACAUAGAAAUGUAUUCAUUUUGAUGAAAUAUAAGACUGCAUGUAAAAUACGAAAUGUAAUUGUGAUCGUCAUUGAAUUUGAAAAAAAAAAAACAACAAAAAACUAUAAAAUGUUGAGAAAACUUGCAAUCAUUUCUAUGUUCAAGACCGUUAACGAACACAAUCUACAAAACGUGACACUACAAAUCUUAUUUCAUUAUAUUCAGGAAGAUAAAUAUUGUUUAAAUAAAUGUCGGGUUUUGUGUAAAUCUUUUAUAGCCUCUGACCAGGAAGUUGAUAAUUGAGCAAGAUGAGAAUUCUAACCAGAAUCUAGUAUAUAUCAACACUUUUAUAUGGAGUUAGUAACUGACAUAAUUAAUUAAUCAACGGAGGAGAAAUAACUUAUACUUCAGAUGAAGGUUAUUCACGCCUUGAGAUACGACCAAAACCACGGUAGAACCUUCUUUUUGGAUAAAUCUCAACCUUGGUUUGGAUUGGCUUUAUCCGCAGCUCGAUAGAAUCACUUCAUUUUUGCUUUUAUCAGAUGAAUGCCACUGGAACUAUCAAACCACAAUGAAUACCACAAAUGUCAAUACAGAUGGUCGAACAAUUAUGACGGCAUUAACCACGGAUCUUCCUGAACAUUCAAACAAUGGUGUCAAUAUCACCCUUGUUGUUAUAGUAACUGUUUCCCUAACUAUUCUUUCACUAAGUUGCGGAGGCUUUGUCUACUACAUUAUAAAAAAGCGAAGAAAUAUCAAGUUGAUCAAUUACAAACAAGGAAUAGGGAAAGGAGCAGAAAACAGAAGCUUUAGUGGUGACCUUGGAAGGAUUUCUGGACUCUCUGCGACUCAAGAUACACCAAGCACUAGGGAAUCUGGUGCAUACAAGUCAUACGAUGCUAUUACUGUUGAUCUAAAAGAUAUAGAGAAACGGCGUGAUCUUUCUAAAGAGACAUUGGCCAGUGAGCGACAGUCAAAAGAGAGCUCAAAAUCUGGAGCUUACAUGUCGUUUGACGAUUUAGAGCAUGUUAUUCCAGACAUGCGCAACCCAGUUGACGAUUUUACAGGUAUAACAACUCGUAUGAGUAAUUACUGUGACUUUAUAGUACCAGAAGAGACAGUGAGCGAUACAGAGAACAGACACACAGACAGACGAUCGUUUCACAAUCAACUAAAAGGAAGUCGGCCAAAUAGUCGAAUAAAUGUUGGUAAAACUAAAACGUACAGUUUAGGAAAAAGUAGAGAGUCAGAAAUACCUGAACAUACUGAUCUUGCAAUAUACAAUCCGGCCUUCUCACAGAUGGAAAAAACAAAACCUGUAGAUAGAACAACUACCUCAUCUAUCACUGAAAAAACAAUAUCGACAAAUUGAUACAUAUCAAACAAGCGCUGUAACAACCUGCCCCGUGUAUCAACUAGCCCCGGUCUCCCCUACUUCCACUUAGAUUUUUGUAUUUUUUAACAAAAUAGUAUAAAAGCUAUAGGAAAAGGUACACACUUUUCAUCUAUUUCUUUCCUUGAGCGAGAAAAUGAAAAUUGAACUAGAAAUAAAAACGUUUACAUACAAGUAUCGAAAAUUUGAACAAAAAAGUGGAAGUUCUUCAUAUAAAGUGCUCGGCUAUGUACUAGAAAUUGAGCUUUAUUCAACAAAUUCUUACAGUCCCUGAGUUACCAUAGCCCGCCCCAAAACGAUUUAUCUAAGGUAUAUUUUGCCGCGUGUUUGCCAAUUUUAAAAUUAAAAUUAUGAAGUGAAAAAUAUGUUCCUGUUGCAACAUUACUUUCUCCAAGGAUAGAACAAUUUCCGAAUAUUUCCAUAUACAUGUAUAACGAAAUAUUUCGGGAAAAGUUUAGUCUUGCUUAAUAAACGCAUGAUUGUAUGCACGUUGCAAUUUUAAUAAUAAAACCGAUUUAUCAGUAAAAGAGAGAUGGAGCUUCAUUUCAUAUUACACGAGGAGCUAGUUUAAAAUCGGUAUUGUUAUAUAACUAUGAACCUUUAAUGUAUUUGAUAAUUAUAAUAUAUUUCAAUCAACUUUAUCUCUGCUAGCAGCACUUUAAUACAUACGAUUAAGGACAAUGAAAGAAAGAAAAAAAAACGACAAAAACAUAACAAAAGUGUCAAAUGCAGAGAAAUAGAAAAAGUGGAAUAAUCUACAGGUCGCCCAACAUGUCAAAAAUUGAGCCUGAUCGUGGGCGUUAAUGGUCUAGUGGAAUAUGUAUUCUACCGUCCACUGCUCUUUUACCUUGCUUUCUGUGUAAUAAGCAAAUAGCAAGCUUAAAACCAGUGUUUGGUGUUGAUUAAAUGCCGAGGUAUGCCAUGUAUGCCAGGUAUAUUAAGUUUCGAUAUGGAUUACAGCUACAAGUCAUUGAAUAUUAAAUUUAUAUCCAAAUGAGGCUAGAUAUUCAGAACAUAUAGAAUAGACGGUUGUGGAAGAAAAUAAUCUAAAUCAAAACCACGGCUCCUCUCACAAAUAGGUAUAACUGUUUCAAUUGUUGUGUUUAUUAAAUUUGCCCUUUGCUUUCUUUGCUUUAUUGCCUGCUAUAUAUGCUAUUUUCCAUCUUUUUUAAAAGUGACUGCGGAUAGUGUAGAGAAUCAGGUCAAGGCCCAGGUUGCUCAGUUCUGGUUACUAGUAUGCUGAACAGUAUGUGUAAAACGGGUAGCUGACUAGAUUUUACCAAAAACAAAAACAAAACAAAAACUAACAUUGGUGGCGCGGAUCAAGGCUUGAGAUAAGUAACUGUAUUAAUUGGCAUGUUUUGUAAAAUCACAAAGGAAAUAAGAUUUUUAAAUAUGAUUUUUUUUCACAGAAGGCUAAGUCUGAUCAACGUUUGUUAGUGUCCACUAGGCUUCGUUUCUUUCGACAAAUUUCAAAAAGAAAUCAUACAUCGAAUACGUAUAUACCAUACACCACUUUCACAUUUAUACUUGAACAGAAGUUUUGUCAAAAAUGUAAAAUGAGCCACACUUUAUACAGUUUUGAUUCUUUUGAUGAAAUGACAAAAAUUUAGAUUUUAUAGCGACUUCAUAGUUUUGAACGGUAGAGGGUGACCCAAGGUACAACUCACGGGGUAACAGAGUAAAACCAGAACCACCAACCUCUAUAAGCAGCUGGUUGGCUACCAUAUAUGGCAAAAUACUACAAUCUUUGUGGCGUUUAGAAUGCACACACGUCAACGACCUUAACCACUUGGCUUAGUGGAAUAUUUGAAUAUCGUCUGGUAAAUGUUUCAGUGUUGUGACCAACAGAUAAUAACUAGAUAAGUGAAAAUAGGUAUUAAGUUUGAAAAAUCCCAUGUAAGCAUUUCAGACGAACAACUUGCGGACUACCAAGGGGAACUGGUACAAAAAAACGACCUUUAACUAACAAAGAUGAAACAAUCAAACCGAUCCUGCAAUAGUUUCAUAUUAUUGUGUUGGACGACCUGUGGAUUUCCACUUUUCUAUUUCAGUUGAAACGUAUCGCUUUAAAUAGUAAAUUAAACAAUGAAUAUCAUAUAUGAGGAAGAUAAAUUUUGUUGACAUUGUUUACGGGUAUGUUUUAGUGAUUGACGUUAUUAGCUUUUUAUUUGUGGUGUCGUCUGCAGCAACUCAUAUCCAAGUUUGUGCCAGCCAGUGUGCCAGCGCAUGCGUUGGCGGAUGUGACGUAUUGACACGAGCUUGUUACAACUGCACGAGCAACAGAUACGAUCAAUUCUGCGAUGGCGUUUGCAGCGAAUUCUGUAACUACUCGUGCGAUAGGUACACAGGAAAUUGUGACUCAUGUAAAACAGGCAGAUAUGCAUCUUGGUGUUUUGAGUCUUGCAGCGAGGGCUGCAGUUCAGGGUGCGACAUGGAAACCGGAAACUGCGCUCUGUGUAAGACCGGCUGGUAUGGUGUUUGGUGUAAUGUGCGCUGUCCUGACGGAUGCAAUGGCGAAUGCAACAGAAUAACCGGCAAUUGUUUACGCUGUAAAUACGGACUCUACGGACGCCAUUGCAAUGUAGCUUGUCUUGAAACAGAUUACUCACAGGGAUGUGACCAAUACUAUGGCACAUGUGUAGUUUGUCCGGCUGGUUUUUAUGGCAACGCAUGUGAUAUCAAAUGUAGCACCAAUUGUAAGCAGUCAAAGUGUGAUUCCUCGAACGGUAAUUGCAUUGAUUGUAAGCAAGGGUAUUUUGGAUCAAACUGUAAACAAUCCUGUUCAGAACAUUGCAACGGAACCUGCAACUUUCAUACCGGAAGUUGUUUUUCAUGUAAGAAUGGGUAUUAUGGUGAGCACUGUGCUUCAUCUUGUCCAAAGCAUUGCAAUGGUCCAUGCAGCAAGAAUGGGACAUGUGUCACGUGUGUGAAUGGCUACUACGGUGAAGGAUGUCAGUAUACUUGUUCACAUCAUUGCCUCACAUCAUGUCAACAACACACAGGACAAUGUUACGUCUGCGAAGAUGGUUACUGGGAUUCAUUUUGCAACAAAACGUGCGGAAGCAAUUGUGUCGGACCAUGUCACAAGAACACCAGCCUCUGUAUCACAUGUGUACCAGGAUGGUACGGGCGUUUCUGUGAAAAUCUAUGCCCGAACACGUGUGAGAAUACUUCUUGCUUACCAACUGGAACUUGUUUAUGAUGUAGAAACGGGUUCUAUGGACAACGUUGCGAAAUGAGGUGUCAUAAUUGUAAAGGUGAUAUAUGCAGACAGCUAGAUGGUAUUUGUUUAUUUGGUUGUGUAAAUGGUUCCGAAUGUGAAGAUGGAUUUUCCACCACAUUAAAAAGAUCAAGCAUUGUAACCACAAAAUUUGACAUCAUUUCCUCUACGUUCUUUCCUACCAAGUUCACUACAAACGACCAAACAUUUACAACUAAGACGACUACAGAAGUUUCAGUAAAAUCAGAAGAUGGUGACGGAAGAACGUUGAUUGUAAUAAUCAUAAUCGUAGUAGUGGCGAUUCUUGUAUUGUGCUUCGGUAUUGUAAUAUACUGUAUUCGUCAGAAAAAAAUGCGUCCUAAAUCUGACGAUGGAACAGCAGAACAACAUGAAUACACAAAUGUGUAUGCGGAGAUAGACAAUGUAGGACCGUCGCAUGAAUAUGAAGGCCUUGAAACUGAAUACGACGAUAUAGAAACUAUUUUGGAAAAUAUGCAUCCUACUGGACCCCUGUACCAAGUGAAUGAGACGGAAAGAGCAUCCGCGAGUGAAAUCAACAACGAACCAGUUGGAAGUUAUGAACAGCCUCAAGAUCAGAAUUGUAACGAUAACACAGAGGUUAAAAUUCCCUUGGAGAACGUUGAAAAUUCUGAAUCACAAACAAAUGUUCCCGCGGUCACAGAGGAAACAGGUCUAGCUACAAAUGGAAAUCCGUCUUACAUUGCUGAAUACAAUACUAGCGGCACCUCAUCUAGUUCUGGGUAUACUCGAGCGUUUUCUGCCGCCUCCCUACCUCAGACAGAUACAGACGUUGAAAUAUCUGACUAUGUUAACAGAAAAUCAUUUUCUCACCAAAGAACAGGAAGACAGUCCGAUGUGGAGAGUGAAAGUUACUGUGUUGUCGAAAAACCAACACAUCCGGCUACGAAAGGGAAUACAGAAAUAGAGAGAGGGUCGCAGUACUCCGCUUACGCUGAUGGCAAUUGAUCCUGAUAUUGUCCACACAUAGCCUGGUAAUUGAUCCUGAUAUUGUCCACACAUAGCCUGGUAAUUGAUCCUGAUAUUGUCCACACAUAGCCUGGUAAUUGAUCCUGAUAUUGUCCACACAUAGCCUGGUUAUAUUACUUUAGAUAAUUGUCAAAACCUUACACUUAUUCCAGCAUAAGGUUAAUUUGAUGAUUUAUAAUCUUUAGUCACUUAUACAAUACAGGAGAAAAACGUCCUCAAAAGAAAUCUUGAGUCAAACUUUAAAAAUCGGAUAGUACUCGUAUUUAGAUUUUAAUUAAACAAAGUAUUGCAAAUUUAUCUAAACUAAAAUCAGUAUGAUAUCAUUUCUUUAUUCACAUGCAUGCAUUACAUGCAUUACAUAAUAAAGCAGUUCAAGAAGCCUUUUUAUAUAAAAAAUUGCCGUAACUGUUUAUGAAUUUCAAGCAAAUAUUUAAGCACCCCACCCACCUGCAGUAACAUUGUGAUUACAUUUUUGUUUUACGAAUCCCCUAAAAUGACUGCUUCUUGUUUCUGACUGAGUAACACAUGCCGCUUUUAACUCCAAUACCGACAAGUUUGUUUAAAUAUGAGGGCUGUUAAAAAAUAGCGUAGACUUUUGCUGUCAAUGGCCGUCUAUUGCAAUGUGAGAUAUAUGAUUGUAAUUCUCAAUCUUUGUGCAAUUUUGUCAUAUAUUUAUGAUGCAGUUUUGCUUAUAGGCGAAGUUCGUAGAAGGUUUUAAUAACCAUAGCUACGCAUAACCGGCGAAGUCGCUUUUUCGUGUGUAGGCGACAUGCACCGAAAGUAUGGCGUCAGUCGGACGUGGGUAGCUGAAUGUAAACAAUAUCUAAACUAUGUGAACCUUUUUGUUAUAACACAAGUAAUGUCGACACCGCAACAAUGUUCACAUCUGUGUCGUGGUCUUUAGGUGGUAUAGACAAUCAGCAAAUGACACAGAAUUGCUAGAAGUAUGAAUAUGUAAGUUUCGUUAGAAAUUCUAUGUUAUGAAUCUGAAUCUUGACACUCAUGUUCUGAAUUUUUACACCCCAAAACUUUUUGACAAAGAUGGUAAAAUACUAAACUUAGUCUACCAGUACUUGCUAGAAAUGUUAAAAUACCCUUUUUCUCCGAUAUUUAAGGCAAACAUUAAUCCAUUAGUAUAAUAUACAUUUCCUUACAUACUACGUAAUCCACACCAACAUGUUUAUGUCCCAUAAGGUUAAAAUCAUCAGCCUAACAAGAGAUUGGUGAAUUGUCAAUCACAUGUCUUAAAAUGAUAAGUAUGUUCUAAAUAUUUUGCUGAACAAAUUUUGCAACAUAUGCGUAUCACUCUGGACUUUCUAAUAGUAUACAUGUUACCAGGGUAUGAGAGAAGAGAAGCAAAGCUCGCUUCUAAUGGUGAGCGCCAAGCAAGACACCGACGACUCCAGCUCUUGAAGCCGGCGCUUCAGAUCGCUUCACAGCAGUUUAAUCUUUAGCCUGCAAAAUUUCUAAAAUGGACUAGUCCAUCAUUCAAUUUUGGCAAAACCAUUUUUUUUGAAUUUCAGCCCACAAGGGGCCCAUUUAUUAUCCCCGUCCAUGAUGUGAUGGGGUCGGGGAUCCAUCCCGCAUCACAUCUUACAGACAUAAUAUAACCAUAGAUAUAAGUUAAACAAAUUUCAGAGCAUAGUAUAUACUUAGUGUAGUAACAUUGUUAUCAAACUAUUCAAUACCUAGUUCACAAUGAUUCAUAAAUCAGUUUAACAACUACAAUACCUAGUUCACAUAGGUUAAUCAAUAUAUUUAAUGCCUUGUUCAAAAGGAUUAAUCUUACAAAAUAGUUCUAAAAAUGUUCAAUCCUAGAAACAGGGGAUUUUUUAAUAGAGAGAGAGGUAUUAUCAAGCAGCUUAUUUAUCUUUCAUAAAACAGACCAAAAUGUAUGUCAAUGUGUAAUUUUAAACCAGUCUUAUUAUUUCUCUUAGUCUAUAAGUCUCUCAUUAGAGAACAAGAGGUCCCAAACAGAGAGAGAAAAGGAAAAAAGGGCCUCUGCCAAGAAAAAAGAAAGAAAAAAAGUACAAAAGGCCUAAGUGUGAACCAAACUGUCUUACUUCCUUAUUCAGUGUCUACAGGGUUCCAAGAAAAGAAAAAAAGGUUUAAAAGUAGGUAUCUCAAGCAACUAUAUAGUCAUUGCAUGUAGAUUCGAGGAUUUUAGGAGACAGUUUAAAAAUAAGAGACAAAGUGGAAGUCGGACCCCUGUUUAUACUUAUACAUAUAUAUAUAUAUAUAUAUAUAAUAUAUUGUAUAAAAUUGAUGAUUUUCCAAGAAAAGACACUCUGCCUGUGGACUGUCCAGAGGGUUACUUAUACACACAAAAGACAAAACAAAACACAAAACUCAACUAAGUGUCAGCAAGAGAAAAAUCCAAAACUAUUUGCCUGUAACAGUUGCUCAAAGAUAUCAUUUUUCUUUUAUUAUCAAUGUAAAUCAAACCCAUAACCUCUUUAAACUGAAAUUAUAAAGGAUUGCCAUCGGUGCAGAGCCAGGCCGUUCUGCGCCGCAGUGCAGCCUGAUCAGGAUCUGCACCUCGGGCUGCUAAAAUUGCAUUUUUAUCGUGAUGGUCCGUAGAUUUUGACAUGAACUGCUCUAAAAAUCAAGGAUGGACCGACCUAAUCUAACUUCAGCAUGGUAAUUGGAGGUUAAACAAAAUCAAUGUUUAACUGUUGCUGAAAGAUAAAUUUUACUUAUAAUACAGUAUGUUUAUUCUAUUAAUUUUUUUAAUUUUCCCCAGUCUGUUUGAAAUUUUGUCAAGUUAAGUACUUGAGAGGCUGUAUAUUUUUCGGUCUGGUAAAACAAAAGUAUUUGUCUUUUGAACACUUCUAAUUAUGGUAUUUGACCCUUAACUCUAUUAUAGUGUAAAAACUGCUUGGCUGAAAGAAGUAACAUAUUCAUUAUUCUGUCAUAUUUGUCACUGCCAAAUAAUAUAUCUGAGGCACUCAAUUCUACUAUGUUUGUAUUACAACUACUAUUUAUAUAUGUCAAUAAAUGUAACCAGAAUUUUUUGAUUACAUCACAUUUCCAAAAAAGAUGAAUUAAAGUUUCUUGCUCGUUUCUACAGGAGCUACAUGUCUCAUCCUGAGAAAUGUUCAUUUUUUCAAUAGAUGGUUUGUAGCUAAUAUCCUAUGAUUAAUUCUAUACUGCAGCCAGUGAAGUUUAGGGUCUUUGGUAAUCCUGAAAACUCUGUCAUAUUUUAUUUCAUCAAGCACAAUACCUAUAUUGUUAUAAAAAUCAUCUUUCCAUUUUUGCAGUGAUUUUGGAAACUCCUCUUUUGAUCUAAAAUAUUUGUAAAUAUUUUUACAUCCUUUACUGUCUUUUGUAAUAAUUGACAGACAGGUAGGCAUGACUGGAUUGCAAGUUUUUCGUAUAUUAUGAACACCCUUACUUUCCAAAAAAUGUCUAAUUGAUGCGAUAAGGCCAUUAUACUCAAGACAGUUUGUUCUAGCAUUAAAAGUAUUGCAAAAUUCUCUAUAUGUGUAAAACUCAUCUUGUGCAUUAAGUAGAUCACCUAUAAAAAUAACUCCAGCUGUCUGCUAUUUUUUAUAAAAAAUACUAGAGCCUCCAACCCUUAUAUCUGGAUUGUUCCAUAAAUUUAUUAAGGCGUAUGCUUUUCCAGUGGUAGGGAUUACCUUACACGAGAGAAUGUGAUAACUAUGUAUCACAUCUCUCCAAAAAGGGUUUAAAUCUUGGUGUAAAAGUCUUUUGGUAAAAUCUGUUCCAUUUAUAUAAAUAUAUUUUAAAGCAGGACAAAUAAAUUCUACUAAAUUACUAAAUUUAUUAUUCAUUGUUAGAAGUCUUCUAACCCAUGUUGCUUUUAAACUAUGCAUGAAACUUUUCAGGUCAAUCAUUUUGAGUCCUCCAAAUCUAUAUUCUUGAGAAAUUAUGUUUCUUUUAACUUUAUCAUUGCCAUUAUUCCGUAAAAAUUUAUAAAACAUAUUUUGUAAAAGAGUAAUUUUUUCUUGUGAGGGGUUUGGAAUCCCUAAUAUCAAAUGGUUAAGUUUUGCUUAGGCUAGGCUCUAAAUAACUACUAGUUUACCCAUAGGUGAGAUAACACUUUUUGACCAGCUUGACAGUUUUGAUUUCUUCAAUUUUUCCAUUCUAGUUUAAGUUAACUAUCUCAUUAAGAUUUAUGGAAAAUUUUACGCCCAGUAAUGUGAACUCAUUACUUCCCCAAGAGAGAUUGAACUCAGGGCACAUUACCAGUUGACUGUUUCUCCGAGAACCAAACCAUAUGACUUUUGUUCUAUCAGUAUUAAUAUUAAGGCCUGAUAUCUUUCCAUAGAAUUUUAAAACUAACAUUGUAUUAAAAAGGGACUCUUUAGAUCCAUUAAGUGUAAGACUUGUAUCAUCUGCAUAUUGUGAAAUUAAAUUUUCUGAACCAUUAAUUUUUAUUCCUUUUAUUUUUGGAUUAUUCCUUAUAAGGAUAGCUAAAAUUUCUGCACAUAGAAUGAAAAGAUAUAUAAUACCAUUUAUUAAUCGAAGGAGUGUUCAUUGAAAAUUUACUGACUGAAUAACAAACAGUGUAGACCAUGAUCAGUCUGCACGGACGUGCAGGCUGAUCUUGGUCUGUACUGGUCGCAAAGGCAGAAUCACUUGACGCCAGCAGGCUAAAGGUUAACGCGGUGGUUUCGCGGUAGUCAGAAAACCACCAAUAUUUCAGGUUCCUUACUAUCGUUUACAUGUUCUACGAAGAUUUCAAUCAUGAAUCAAAUGUUGAGUACGAAUGACCUCAAACAUUUUGUCUGCAUCCAAUCGCCCAAACCAACGACCUACUGAUUGAAAAUCUCGCAUUUUUUUAGCUAACCGAACAUGCGUAGCCUGAAUCUCACCGAGUUCAUUUCUACUUUAGUUCUUCUAAAAUACAUUAUUGAAAUAUAUUGAAAGCAAACUGUCUUUAAUCGAGCGUGCUUCUUACCAGCAGCCUACAUGUUGAGUUCUAGACUAAGAGCUACCAACACGAGAAUACCAAGGUCUUAUAAAUUCAGAAAUGUCACUAGCAGUAUUGUUUUAUUUCCCGACUUUAUACCAUAACAUUUGAAAUCACGGUGGUGAAAAUUAGAAAUAAAGAUGGUGAAAACUGGUAACUACGAUAUUAAAAGAGAAAAUCGCGAAACAAUCAGUACGAUGAUAAUUUCACAAUUUCAUCAUUAUGGUUUCCUUUUCCUUUUCUCAUCAUUUUAGUUACGAAUUUUAUCGUUGUAGUUUCUUCUGUUGUUUUCCUGUUGUAAAUGUCAUUCGCAUAUAUUUCUUCAAAAACAUGUAUGUACACACAGUAUUGCAGAGGGUUCACACCUCUUUAACCUGUACCCUGCUAAAUUUCUAAAAUGGACUGGCCCAUCAUUCAGUUUGGACAGUACCACUUAUUAUUCAAAAGGGGGUUCACUGAAAAUUUACUGACUGAAUAGCAAAAAGUGCAGACCAUGAUCAGCCUGCAAGGCAAAAUCAGUUGCCACCAGCAGGCUAAAGAUUAAAAGUCGUUUCAAUGCUUGGCGCUUCAUUUGCACGAUUGUGAGUAGGACCUACUUACCUUUUCAGAAUGCUAUGGUUGCAUGCAGUGCAAAUAAUAAUAUUAAAUUUACCCAGAUGUUGGUCUAUAGAUACAACUAUGCAUCACAUUUUACCUCGAUUAAAUACACAAGCACAAGGAAAUAAAGCCAAAACAGUGACUGUGAAGUUUGAACUGUGAUGUAUGUGCUAUGAUCUAUGAACUGUGAAGUAUGGAGUGUAAAUUGUGAAGUUUGAACUGAGAUGUAUGUGCUAGGAUCUAUGAAAUGUGAAGUAUGAAGUAUACAUUGUGAAGUUUGAACUGUGAUGCAUGUGCUAUGAUCUAUGAACUGUGAAGUAUGGCGUGUACAUUGUGAAGUUUGAACUGUGAUGUAUGUGCUAUGACCUAUGAACUGUGGAGUAUGAAAGGUGGAAUUAGUUAGAAAGCCGAGGACGACAACACUCUGGUGCAUUUAUCAGAGUUGUGUCCUUUUAUGUGCCUAGAUUAUAAGCAUUUUUUGGUUAUUUUUUUGUUUAGGUCAACUUUUUUAAUACUAUAGCUUUGAAACGAUGUACAUUUGUAAAUCAUCUAUAGGUGAGUAAAGUUAUCAAGAACUGUAACCCGUUCAUCCAUUACGUAAGGAUUAUGGCCCGCUUUUUGUAAAUAGGAAAUGAAAUGGUUUGUGGUUUCAAAAACCAGACUUUUGUAAGAUUUCCACGUGUCUUAUUUUUUUCUUUUAUUUUUAAAGACGUUUGUGGUAAUUUUUAUAUGCAUCAUUCUGUGCAUUCGGUAAUAUGUUAAGGAAAAUCCGUACAAAAGAAUGUUUAUCAAAUUAAAUUUGGUACCAAAUAAAGAUAAAAGGAUACCAUUGUGUUUCAUGUGGCCUCCGUGGCCGAGAGGUUAAGGUCGCUGACAUUGAAUCACUUGCCCUUCACAAAUGUGGGUUCAAGCCUCAUUUGGGGCGUUGAAUUCUCCAUGUGAGGAAGCCAUCCAGCUGGCUUACGGAAGGUCAGUGGUUCUACCCAAGUGCUCGGCCGUGAUGAAAUAAUGCACGGAGGGGCACCUGGGUCUUCAUCCACCAUCAAAGCUGUAAAGUCGCCAUAUGAUGUAUACAACUGUGUCUGUGCGACACUAAAUCCCCAACCCAAAAAGCUAUUGUGUUGCGUACCAAAUAAAUAUAUACAUAAAGACAAAUUAAUGAUAUUUUUUAUGAAGUUGCCAUGUUGUCUUGAAUAUGUCAUCAUUAUAAUUCUGAAGUUAUCGUUUAUUUGAAAAUAUUAUCAAACUACAAAAUGUAAUAUGAAUAUUUAUAUAAUCAAACUACAAAUGUCAUAUAUAUUUAUAUUUUUAAACGUAAGGUGAGAUAAACAGGUUAUUUUUGAGUUUGUGUAGAAAACGUACUCAAAUGAAAUAUUUAAAUUGAUCUUAUUGACAAUCUUUAAAUGGCAUGUAUUCUUACAAUUGAUUGAAAAAUCUACAGUAUAGUUUCAACAUGUUAUCUACAGCCAUGUUUUAUUUACUUAAUGCAUAGUACCUAUACUAUCUGAAGAAAAGGUUUUGGGAAGGGCCGUUUACAGAUGUUGCAAGAACUUGUGGCCCGACCCAUUUUUGGCUGUACAUGUACACUUAUUGAUAUAUGUUAUUAUAAAUGUGAAUAAUAAUAAGUAAUAAAAUACGAUUAAACUAAGAAAAGGUAGCGAUAUAAAUGUAAAUCAAAAAAUAUUUUCAAUGCAUUAUAAAACUGCGCGCAGUCUUUUAGUUCCAGACAGUACCGUGUCAUCUUUUGCCAAACAUAUUUCACAAAAUAUAAUAUGUCUUUCUAAUCAGUACAAGUGUUGGUUAUUUCUUUGUUGUUUAUUUUUGUCAAAUUAUGUUUAUUACUUACUAACAUAGUUUACUUACUCAAAUUCUGACUUUUAUUGCAUUUGUUAUUUUUACAAUGCCAGUAUUUCGAAAUUAAAAUUAAAACCAGUA